rnacentral:rRNA from 1 species
UCACGAAGCAAUCGGAAGUGGUUCCAAGAAAAGCCUCUAAGCUUCAGUCAUACGAGACCGUACCGCAAACCGACACAGGUGGGCGAGAUGAGUAUUCUAAGGCGCUUGAGAGAACUCGGGAGAAGGAACUCGGCAAAUUGGUACCGUAACUUCGGGAAAAGGUACGCCCCGGUAGCUUGAUUGGUUUACUCCAUGAGGGUGAAAGGGUUGCAAUAAACUGGUGGCUGCGACUGUUUAAUAAAAACACAGCACUCUGCAAACACGAAAGUGGACGUAUAGGGUGUGACGCCUGCCCGGUGCUGGAAGAUUAAAUGAUGGGGUGCAAGCUCUUGAUUGAAGUCCCAGUAAACGGCGGCCGUAACUAUAACGGUCCUAAGGUAGCGAAAUUCCUUGUCGGGUAAGUUCCGACCUGCACGAAUGGCGUAACGAUGGCCACACUGUCUCCUCCCGAGACUCAGCGAAGUUGAAAUGUUUGUGAUGAUGCAAUCUACCCGCGGCUAGACGGAAAGACCCCAUGAACCUUUACUGUAGCUUUGCAUUGGACUUUGAACCAAUCUGUGUAGGAUAGGUGGGAGGCUUUGAAGCGGGGACGCUAGUUCUCGUGGAGCCAACCUUGAAAUACCACCCUGGUUUGUUUGAGGUUCUAACCUUGGUCCGUUAUCCGGAUCGGGGACAGUGCAUGGUAGGCAGUUUGACUGGGGCGGUCUCCUCCUAAAGUGUAACGGAGGAGUUCGAAGGUACGCUAGAUACGGUCGGACAUCGUGUUGAUAGUGCAAUGGCAUAAGCGUGCUUAACUGCGAGACUGACAAGUCGAGCAGGUACGAAAGUAGGACAUAGUGAUCCGGUGGUUCUGUAUGGAAGGGCCAUCGCUCAACGGAUAAAAGGUACUCUGGGGAUAACAGGCUGAUUCCUCCCAAGAGUUCAUAUCGACGGGGGAGUUUGGCACCUCGAUGUCGGCUCAUCACAUCCUGGGGCUGUAGCCGGUCCCAAGGGUAUGGCUGUUCGCCAUUUAAAGUGGUACGUGAGCUGGGUUUAAAACGUCGUGAGACAGUUUGGUCCCUAUCUGCCGUGGGCGUUGGAAAUUUGAAGGGGGCUGCUCCUAGUACGAGAGGACCGGAGUGGACGAACCUCUGGUGUACCGGUUGUCACGCCAGUGGCAUUGCCGGGUAGCUAAGUUCGGAAGAGAUAACCGCUGAAAGCAUCUAAGCGGGAAACUUGCCUUGAGAUGAGAUUUCCCAGAGCCUUGAGCUCUUUGAAGGGUCGUUCGAGACCAGGACGUUGAUAGGCUGGGUGUGGAAGUGCAGUAAUGCAUUAAGCUAACCAGUACUAAUUGCCCGUACGGCUUGUCCCU